rnacentral:rRNA from 1 species
GCUAAUACCGCAUAACAACGAAAACCAACAUGGCUUUCGUUUUAAAGUAUGGUUUCGGCUAUCACUUCAGGAUGGGCCCGCGGUGCAUUAGCUAGUUGGUAAGGUAACGGCUUACCAAGGCGAUGAUGCAUAGCCGAGUUGAGAGACUGAUCGGCCACAAUGGAACUGAGACACGGUCCAUACUCCUACGGGAGGCAGCAGAG